rnacentral:rRNA from 1 species
UACGUAGGGUGCAAGCGUUUGUCCGGAAUUAUUGGGCGUAAAGAGCUCGUAGGCGGUUUGUUGCGUCGGCUGUGAAAUCCCGAGGCUCAACCUCGGGUCUGCAGUCGAUACGAGCAAACUAGAGUGUUGCAGGGGGAGACUGGAAUUCCUGGUGUAGCGGUGAAAUGCGCAGAUAUCAGGAGGAACACCGGUGGCGAAGGCGGGGUCUCUGGGGCAACAACUGACGUGGAGGAGCGAAAGCGUGGGG